rnacentral:rRNA from 1 species
GAUGAACGCUAGCGGGAGGCCUAACACAUGCAAGCUGAGCGGUAGAGAUCUUUCGGGAUCUUGAGAGCGGCGUACGGGUGCGGAACACGUGUGCAACCUGCCUUUAUCAGGGGGAUAGCCUUUCGAAAGGAAGAUUAAUACCCCAUAAUAUUUUGAAUGGCAUCAUUUAAAAUUGAAAACUCCGGUGGAUAGAGAUGGGCACGCGCAAGAUUAGAUAGUUGGUAGGGUAACGGCCUACCAAGUCAGUGAUCUUUAGGGGGCCUGAGAGGGUGAUCCCCCACACUGGUACUGAGACACGGACCAGACUCCUACGGGAGGCAGCAGUGAGGAAUAUUGGACAAUGGGUUAGCGCCUGAUCCAGCCAUCCCGCGUGAAGGACGACGGCCCUAUGGGUUGUAAACUUCUUUUGUAUAGGGAUAAACCUUUCCACGUGUGGAAAGCUGAAGGUACUAUACGAAUAAGCACCGGCUAACUCCGUGCCAGCAGCCGCGGUAAUACGGAGGGUGCAAGCGUUAUCCGGAUUUAUUGGGUUUAAAGGGUCCGUAGGCGGAUCUGUAAGUCAGUGGUGAAAUCUCACAGCUUAACUGUGAAACUGCCAUUGAUACUGCAGGUCUUGAGUAAAGUAGAAGUGGCUGGAAUAAGUAGUGUAGCGGUGAAAUGCAUAGAUAUUACUUAGAACACCAAUUGCGAAGGCAGGUCACUAUGUUUUAACUGACGCUGAUGGACGAAAGCGUGGGGAGCGAACAGGAUUAGAUACCCUGGUAGUCCACGCCGUAAACGAUGCUAACUCGUUUUUGGGUUUUCGGAUUCAGAGACUAAGCGAAAGUGAUAAGUUAGCCACCUGGGGAGUACGUUCGCAAGAAUGAAACUCAAAGGAAUUGACGGGGGCCCGCACAAGCGGUGGAUUAUGUGGUUUAAUUCGAUGAUACGCGAGGAACCUUACCAAGGCUUAAAUGGGAAUUGAUCGGUUUAGAAAUAGACCUUCCUUCGGGCAAUUUUCAAGGUGCUGCAUGGUUGUCGUCAGCUCGUGCCGUGAGGUGUUAGGUUAAGUCCUGCAACGAGCGCAACCCCUGUCACUAGUUGCCAUCAUUAAGUUGGGGACUCUAGUGAGACUGCCUACGCAAGUAGAGAGAAAGGUGGGGAUGACGUCAAGUCAUCACGGCCCUUACGCCUUGGGCCACACACGUAAUACAAUGGCCGGUACAGAGGGCAGCUACACAGCGAUGUGAUGCAAAUCUCGAAAGCCGGUCUCAGUUCGGAUUGGAGUCUGCAACUCGACUCUAUGAAGCUGGAAUCGCUAGUAAUCGCGCAUCAGCCAUGGCGCGGUGAAUACGUUCCCGGGCCU